GAGGCAUGGCUCAGCUGGUUAGAGCGUUGCGUUCACAUCGCAAAGGUCGUGGGUUCGAGUCCCUCUGCCUCC
rnacentral:tRNA from 1 species